AGUCAAUAGAUACCCGGGUAGUCCACGCCGUAAACGAUGAGUACUAGGUGUAGGAGGUAUCGACUCCUUCUGUGCCGCAGUUAAACACAAUAAGUACUCCGCCUGGGAAGUACGGUCGCAAGAUUAAAACUCAAAGGAAUUGACGGGGGCCCGCACAAGCAGCGGAGCAUGUGGUUUAAUUCGAAGCAACGCGAAGAACCUUACCUAGACUUGACAUCUCCUGAAUAGUGUAGAGAUACAUGAAGCCCUUCGGGGCGAGGAAGACAGGUGGUGCAUGGUUGUCGUCAGCUCGUGUCGUGAGAUGUUGGGUUAAGUCCCGCAACGAGCGCAACCCUUAUUACUAGUUGCUACCAUUAAGUUGAGCACUCUAGUGAGACUGCCC
rnacentral:rRNA from 1 species